rnacentral:rRNA from 1 species
CCCGCUGAACUUAAGCAUAUCAAUAAGCGGAGGAAAAGAAACUAACAAGGAUUCCCCUAGUAACUGCGAGUGAAGCGGGAAAAGCUCAAAUUUAAAAUCUGGCAGUUCUGCUGUCCGAGUUGUAGUUUAGAGAAGUGCUAUCCGCGCUGGCCUGUGCAAAAGUUUCUUGGAAAAGAACAUCAUAGAGGGUGACAAUCCCGUCUUUGGCACAGAUCACCAGGGCUUUUGUGGUGCGCUCUCGACGAGUCGAGUUGUUUGGGAAUGCAGCUCUAAAUGGGUGGUAAAUUCCAUCUAAAGCUAAAUAUUGGCGAGAAACCGAUAGCGAACAAGUACCGUGAGGGAAAGAUGAAAAGAACUUUGAAAAGAGAGUUAAACAGUACGUGAAAUUGUUGAAAGGGAAACGCUUGAAGUCAGUCGCAUCCUUCAGAAAUCAAGCCAACAUUCUGUUGGCCGUACUUUCUGUUUGGAUGGGUCAGCAUCAAUUUCGACCGCUGGAUAAAGUCCUUGGGAAUGUGGCAUCUUCGGAUGUGUUAUAGACCAUGGUCAGAUACAGUGGUUGGGAUUGAGGAACUCAGUGUGCCUUCAUGGUUGGGGCUUCGGCUCACAUAGCACGCUUAGGAUGCUGGCAUAAUGGCUUUAAUCGACCCGUCUUGAAACACGG